AGGGAUAUUGGGCAAUGGGGGAAACCCUGACCCAGCGACGCCGCGUGAGGGAAGACGGUCUUCGGAUUGUAAACCUCUGUCUUUGGGGACGAAAAAGGACGGUACCCAAGGAGGAAGCUCCGGCUAACUACGUGCCAGCAGCCGCGGUAAUACGUAGGGAGCGAGCGUUGUCCGGAAUUACUGGGUGUAAAGGGAGCGUAGGCGGGAUUGCAAGUUGGAUGUGAAAACUGCGGGCUCAACCCGGAGAGUGCAUUCAAAACUGCGAUUCUUGAGUGAAGUAGAGGCAAGCGGAAUUCCUAGUGUAGCGGUGAAAUGCGUAGAUAUUAGGAGGAACACCAGUGGCGAAGGCGGCUUGCUGGGCUUUUACUGACGCUGAGGCUCGAAAGUGUGGGGAGCAAACAGGA
rnacentral:rRNA from 1 species